GAUGAACGCUGGCGGCGUGCCUAAUACAUGCAAGUCGAGCGAACAGACGAGGAGCUUGCUCCUCUGACGUUAGCGGCGGACGGGUGAGUAACACGUGGAUAACCUACCUAUAAGACUGGGAUAACUUCGGGAAACCGGUGCUAAUACCGGAUAAUAUAUUCAACCGCAUGGUUCAAUAGUGAAAGACGGCUUUGCUGUCACUUAUAGAUGAUUCCGCGCCGCAUUAGCUAGUUGGUAAGGUAACGGCUUACCAAGGCAACGAUGCGUAGCCGACCUGAGAGGGUGAUCGGCCACACUGGAACUGAGACACGGUCCAGACUCCUACGGGAGGCAGCAGUAGGGAAUCUUCCGCAAUGGGCGAAAGCCUGACGGAGCAACGCCGCGUGAGUGAUGAAGGUCUUCGGAUCGUAAAACUCUGUUAUUAGGGAAGAACAAAUGUGUAAGUAACUAUGCACGUCUUGACGGUACCUAAUCAGAAAGCAACGGCUAACUACGUG
rnacentral:rRNA from 1 species